rnacentral:pre_miRNA from 1 species
CACCUACUCCCUCCGUUCGGAAUUACUUGUCGCGGAAAUGGAUGUAUCUAGACGUAUUUUAGUUCUAGAUAUAUCCAUUUCUGAGACAAGUAAUUUCGAACGGAGGGAGUAGCUG